GUGGGGAAUAUUGGACAAUGGGCGCAAGCCUGAUCCAGCCAUGCCGCGUGAGUGAUGAAGGCCCUAGGGUUGUAAAGCUCUUUCGCCAGGGACGAUAAUGACGGUACCUGGAUAAGAAGCCCCGGCUAACUUCGUGCCAGCAGCCGCGGUAAUACGAAGGGGGCUAGCGUUGUUCGGAAUCACUGGGCGUAAAGCGCACGUAGGCGGAUCUUUAAGUCAGGGGUGAAAUCCCGAGGCUCAACCUCGGAACUGCCUUUGAUACUGGAGGUCUCGAGUCCGGGAGAGGUGAGUGGAACUGCGAGUGUAGAGGUGAAAUUCGUAGAUAUUCGCAAGAACACCAGUGGCGAAGGCGGCUCACUGGCCCGGAACUGACGCUGAGGUGCGAAAGCGUGGGGAGCAAACAGGAUUAGAAACCCCAGUAGUCC
rnacentral:rRNA from 1 species